rnacentral:tRNA from 1 species
GGUGAGGUGUCCGAGUGGCUGAAGGAGCACGCCUGGAAAGUGUGUAUACGGCAACGUAUCGGGGGAGCCAAUCCCCCCCUCACCGCCA